AUUGAACGCUGGCGGCAUGCUUUACACAUGCAAGUCGGACGAGUGGCGAACGGGCGAGUAAUAUAUCGGAACGUACCGAGUAAUGGGGGAUAACUAAUCGAAAGAUUAGCUAAUACCGCCUAUUAUUCGAGCGGCCGAUAUCUGAUUAGCUAGUUGGGGGGGUAAAGGACUACCAAGGCGACGAGCAGUAGCGGGUCUGAGAGGAUGAUCCGCCACACUGGGACUGAGACACGGCCAAGACUCCUACGGGAGGAAGCAGUGGGGAAGUUUGGGCAAUGGUGGCAAGCCUGAUCCAGCCAUGCCGCGUGUCUGAAGAAGGCCUUCGGGUUGUAAAGGUCUUUUGUCAGGGAAGCGGUACCUGAAGAAUAAGCACCGGCUAACUACGUGCCAGCAGCCGCGGUAAUAC
rnacentral:rRNA from 1 species